rnacentral:rRNA from 1 species
UACGAAGGGGGCUAGCGUUGCUCGGAUUGACUGGGCGCAAAGGGCGCGUAGGCGGUUUGUACAGUCAGACGUGAAAUUCCUGGGCUCAACCUGGGGGCUGCGUUUGAUACGUGCAGACUUGAGUUCGGAAGAGGGUCGUGGAAUUCCCAGUGUAGAGGUGAAAUUCGUAGAUAUUGGGAAGAACACCGGUGGCGAAGGCGGCGACCUGGUCCGAUACUGACGCUGAGGCGCGAAAGCGUGGGGAGCAAACAGG